rnacentral:tRNA from 1 species
GCAGGUAUAGCUCUGAGGUAGAGUGUGUGCUUAGCAUGCAUGAGGUCCUGGGUUCAAUCCUCGGUACUUCCA